ACGGCUCAGUAACACGUGGAUAACCUACCCUAUGGUGGGAGAUAACCCCGGGAAACUGGGGAUAAUAUCCCAUAGUCUAUGGGACCUGGAAUGGUCCAUAGUUGAAAGAUUUAUUCGCCAUAGGAUGGGUCUGCGGCCGAUUAGGUAGUUGUUGGGGUAACGGCCCAACAAGCCUUUGAUCGGUACGGGUUGUGGGAGCAAGAGCCCGGAGAUGGAUUCUGAGACACGAAUCCAGGCCCUACGGGGCGCAGCAGGCGCGAAAACUUUACAAUGCGGGAAACCGUGAUAAGGGAACUCCGAGUGCCCGUAAACGCGGGCUGUCCAUCUGCUUAAAAAACAGGUGAAGAAAGGGCCGGGCAAGACCGGUGCCAGCCGCCGCGGUAAUACCGGCGGCUCGAGUGGUGGCCACUAUUACUGGGCUUAAAGCGUCCGUAGCUUGGUUGUUAAGCCUCUUGGGAAAUCUGUCGGCUUAACCGACAGGCGUUUAAGGGAUACUGGCAAUCUAGGGACCGGGAGAGGUGAGAGGUACUCCAGGGGUAGGAGUGAAAUCCUGUAAUCCUUGGGGGACCACCUGUGGCGUAGGCGUCUCACCAGAACGGCUCCGACAGUGAGGGACGAAAGCUGGGGGAGCAAACCGGAUUAGAUACCCGGGUAGUCCCAGCCGUAAACGAUGCGCGUUAGGUGUAUCGGUGACCACGAGUCACCGAGGUGCCGAAGGGAAAACCGUGAAACGUGCCGCCUGGGAAGUACGGUCGCAAGGCUGAAACUUAAAGGAAUUGGCGGGGGAGCACA
rnacentral:rRNA from 1 species